GCUGUAAUGGCUCAACGGCAGAGCAGCUGAUUUGUAAUCAGCAGAUUGUAGGUUCAAAUCCUACUUGCAGCA
rnacentral:tRNA from 1 species